GUGCUCGUAGUUCAACGGUAGAGCGCAGCCUUGUGGUGGCUGAUGUUGCGGGUUCGAAUCCCGUCGGGCACCCCA
rnacentral:tRNA from 1 species